GGGUUGUGAGGUUAAGCGACUAAGCGUACACGGUGGAUGCCCUGGCAGUCAGAGGCGAUGAAGGGCGUGCUAAUCUGCGAUAAGCGCCGGUAAGGUGAUAUGAACCGUUAUAACCGGCGAUACCCGAAUGGGGAAACCCAGUGUGAUUCGUCACACUAUCAUUAACUGAAUCCAUAGGUUAAUGAGGCGAACCGGGGGAACUGAAACAUCUAAGUACCCCGAGGAAAAGAAAUCAACCGAGAUUCCCCCAGUAGCGGCGAGCGAACGGGGAGGAGCCCAGAGCCUGAAUCAGCAUGUGUGUUAGUGGAAGCGUCUGGAAAGGCGCGCGAUACAGGGUGACAGCCCCGUACACAAAAGCGCAUGUGCUGUGAGCUCGAUGAGUAGGGCGGGACACGUGGUAUCCUGUCUGAAUAUGGGGGGACCAUCCUCCAAGGCUAAAUACUCCUGACUGACCGAUAGUGAACCAGUACCGUGAGGGAAAGGCGAAAAGAACCCCGGCGAGGGGAGUGAAAAAGAACCUGAAACCGUGUACGUACAAGCAGUGGGAGCACCCUUUGGGUGUGACUGCGUACCUUUUGUAUAAUGGGUCAGCGACUUAUAUUCUGUAGCAAGGUUAACCGAAUAGGGGAGCCGGAGGGAAACCGAGUCUUAACCGGGCGUUAAGUUGCAGGGUAUAGACCCGAAACCCGGUGAUCUAGCCAUGGGCAGGUUGAAGGUUGGGUAACACUAACUGGAGGACCGAACCGACUAAUGUUGAAAAAUUAGCGGAUGACCUGUGGCUGGGGGUGAAAGGCCAAUCAAACCGGGAGAUAGCUGGUUCUCCCCGAAAGCUAUUUAGGUAGCGCCUCGUGAAUUCAUCUCCGGGGGUAGAGCACUGUUUCGGCUAGGGGGCCAUCCCGGCUUACCAACCCGAUGCAAACUGCGAAUACCGGAGAAUGUUAUCACGGGAGACACACGGCGGGUGCUAACGUCCGUCGUGAAGAGGGAAACAACCCAGACCGCCAGCUAAGGUCCCAAAGUCAUGGUUAAGUGGGAAACGAUGUGGGAAGGCCCAGACAGCCAGGAUGUUGGCUUAGAAGCAGCCAUCAUUUAAAGAAAGCGUAAUAGCUCACUGGUCGAGUCGGCCUGCGCGGAAGAUGUAACGGGGCUAAACCAUGCACCGAAGCUGCGGCAGCGACACUGUGUGUUGUUGGGUAGGGGAGCGUUCUGUAAGCCUGUGAAGGUGUGUCGUGAGGCAUGCUGGAGGUAUCAGAAGUGCGAAUGCUGACAUAAGUAACGAUAAAGCGGGUGAAAAGCCCGCUCGCCGGAAGACCAAGGGUUCCUGUCCAACGUUAAUCGGGGCAGGGUGAGUCGACCCCUAAGGCGAGGCCGAAAGGCGUAGUCGAUGGGAAACGGGUUA
rnacentral:rRNA from 1 species